rnacentral:rRNA from 1 species
CGGACGGGUGAGUAAUGUCUGGGAAACUGCCUGAUGGAGGGGGAUAACUACUGGAAACGGUAGCUAAUACCGCAUAACGUCGCAAGACCAAAGAGGGGGACCUUCGGGCCUCUUGCCAUCGGAUGUGCCCAGAUGGGAUUAGCUAGUAGGUGGGGUAACGGCUCACCUAGGCGACGAUCCCUAGCUGGUCCGAGAGGAUGACCAGCCACACUGGAACUGAGACACGGUCCAG